UUGACGGGGCCCGCACAAGCGGUGGAGCAUGUGGUUUAAUUCGAUGCAACGCGAAGAACCUUACCUGGGCUUGACAUCCCGGGAAUCCCCUGGAAACAGGGGAGUGCCCUUCGGGGAACCCGGUGACAGGUGCUGCAUGGCUGUCGUCAGCUCGUGUUGUGAAAUGUUGGGUUAAGUCCCGUAACGAGCGCAACCCUUGUCCUUAUUUGCCAGCGGGUAAUGCCGGGAACUCUAAGGAGACUGCCGGUGACAAACCGGAGGAAGGUGGGGACGACGUCAAGUCAUCAUGGCCCUUACGGGUAGGGCUACACACGUGCUACAAUGGCCGGUACAAAGGGUUGCGAAGCCGCGAGGUGGAGCUAAUCCCGAAAAGCUGGUCUCAGUCCGGAUCGGAGUCUGCAACUCGACUCCGUGAAGUCGGAAUCGCUAGUAAUCGUGAAUCAGAAUGUCACGGUGAAUACGUUCCCGGGCCUU
rnacentral:rRNA from 1 species